CUCAGUUCCCUUCCCGGAUUCCCUGCUUCCCUUCCUGAAGGAGUAGUUCCGGGAGCGAGGGAAAUGGCGGUUGUCCACCCGCCAGCGGUCCAAGGCUGGCCUUAAACUCACUGUGCUUGCAUUGAACUCAUGGUGAUCCUCCUGCCUCAGCCUCCCCAAUGCCAUCAUACAGGCUUGAGCAUCCACACCCAACUAAAAGGGUCUCAUUACAUAGUUCAGGUGCACCUUAAUCUCACUCAGUAGCCCAGGUGGUCUAGAACUCGAUAUCUUCCUGCCUCAGCAUCCUCAGUGCCCAUCUCACACGCUUGAUCAUCCUCACAAGCUGAAAGGUAGUUGUUUGUGUGUCAGCUGGAUACCGACACAGUGGUGCUGUUGCAGAGGAUGGUGAAUUAUAUACAUGGGGCGAAGGAGACUUUGGAAGACUAGGUCAUGGUGAUAGCAAUAGCCGUAACAUUCCAACGUUAGUAAAAGACAUUAGCAAUGUUGGAGAGGUUUCUUGUGGCAGUUCACAUACUAUUGCUCUGUCUAAAGAUGGAAGAACUGUGUGGUCUUUUGGAGGAGGAGACAAUGGUAAGCUUGGCCAUGGUGACACCAACAGAGUGUAUAAACCUAAAGUUAUUGAAGCUUUAAAAGGAAUGUUCAUUUGCAAAGUUUGUGCUGGGAGCCAGUCUUCACUUGCUUUGACAUCCACAGGGCAGGUAGGACUAAAGAAUGACUGUAAAAUAACUAUAAUAUUUC